rnacentral:rRNA from 1 species
UACAGAGGUCUCAAGCGUUGUUCGGAUUCAUUGGGCGUAAAGGGUGCGUAGGUGGCGCGGUAAGUCGGGUGUGAAAUCUCGGAGCUUAACUCCGAAAUUGCAUUCGAUACUGCCGUGCUCGAGGACUGGAGAGGAGACUGGAAUUCAUGGUGUAGCAGUGAAAUGCGUAGAGAUCAUGAGGAAGACCAGUGGCGAAGGCGGGUCUCUGGGCCGAUAUCGACGCUGAGGAGCGAAAGCGUGGGGAGCGAACAGG